GCGUAUUGUUAUGCGUUUACUUUACUACAUUGGUUAGAGGUAUAGGGGGAGGGUUGAGAUCUCACAAAUAUGUUUAACCCCGCCGCAUUUUGCGCCUGUCCCAAGUCAGGAGCCUCUGGCCUUUGUUAGUCUUGUAUUAUUUUAAUUUUAGUUUCUUGUGUACAAUUUGGAAAUUAGUAUGGCGUUCAUUAUCACUGGACUAGCAUAUAUUUGUUUAGGGGCCAGAUGAAGGACGCCUCCGGGUGCGGGAAUUUCUCGCUACAUUGAAGACCUGUUGGUGACCCUCUGCUGUUGUUUUUU
rnacentral:lncRNA from 1 species